GGCUACAUAUAGGCUACUUUAUUAUACAUUUGUGAACCAUUUCUUGUGUUGGAAAAACAGGAGACCUGAAGAGCUCUUGAUGCUUUUGGUUUGCCUCAUCCAUUAUGUCAGCAAAGAACAGGAGUGGGCAGGAAACAGGAAUGCGCUGUUGAAAACAUGGCCAACCAACUGGAGCAUCCAUAAGGCUCUUGUGAAGGAAGUUCACAAGCCUUUGUGCUUCAGGAUGGAUGGAAAUAACUCUUUGAUCAACCACCAAAUAGAGCUGAGGUGGCUAUCUUUUGGAGACACCCCCGGCUGGUAGUGCUGCUGAAACUGGUGGAGGCAACAAUGAAGCGGCAACAGAAAGAGUAGGCAGGUGGCAAAGGUUGCUGCUAUUGAAAAAUACUUUGAGAGUGAGUGUGUGCAUGUAUGUAGCUGGGUAUGGUACAUGGUACAAAAAUACAGAAUUUAAAGCACUAGCACAACACUUAACUCACAACCCACAACUACUGACAAUGGAAUUACUCU